UAAUUGAGUGUUUUAUGGCACUCUUUAAAAAAUCCAUAUCCACCUUGUGUGCAACGUUUUUAGACACCCUGGCAUUGAUAUCUCUUUUAGGGAAGGAAAGCCAGGAUGUUUGAUUAACUUAACUCAACUCCUUUAAAACAGUUUGUCUGAAUACAUAUUUCUGAAUAAACAUAAUUCAAAAAUA
rnacentral:misc_RNA from 1 species